UACGUAGGGUGCAAGCGUUGUCCGGAAUUAUUGGGCGUAAAGAGCUCGUAGGCGGUCUGUCGCGUCUGCUGUGAAAAUCCAGGGCUCAACCCUGGACCUGCAGUGGGUACGGGCAGACUAGAGUGCGGUAGGGGAGAUCGGAAUUCCUGGUGUAGCGGUGAAAUGCGCAGAUAUCAGGAGGAACACCGGUGGCGAAGGCGGAUCUCUGGGACGUAACUGACGCUGAGACGCGAAAGCGUGGGGAGCAAACAGG
rnacentral:rRNA from 1 species